GUUUUUCUUGCACUGAUAUCGUUGGGAACAAGAUUAAAAGCAUUAUCUCAAUGACCAAGACAUGAAUUUGAUGCAUUUUUGUUAACUAUGUGAGCAACCCUGGGUACGUUCCGGCUUUUGCCCACAGCCUCGGGUAGCGUCGGGAAAUAAUUGGCGAGCAAAGAAAAGUAAAAGUGUAUUGUCUAAAUAAAAAUAAAAAAAUAUAUAUAUACAAAAUAAAAUAAUAUAAAAGAUUUCCGGAGCAGUCCUCGUAUUUACUUGGGGAGUACUGCCCUCUGCCGGUAGCUAUCUGGCCCCAGCGUGUCAGCUGGUUUGCUGUCAAUGCCGUUUUCGUGUCGGACUAUUAGUAGGUUAAUUUCCACGUGCAGUGCUGUCUAGAAUGUAACAAAUUAAUUGAUGCGGGAUUGUGGGCUGCGCCACCCGAACGAGGUAACCAACAGAACCUGCGGGGUGAGUGUUCGAACUGUAACAACUAACCUUUCCCGUGACGGCUUUCAGCCCCUUAUGGUUAACGUAGGCGGGCGGGAGCACUGUGCCCCAGGUUCAGGCAGGACGGGGCGACGGGAAGAUACUACGGAGGUGUACUUCGUUUAAAACCAGGAGUCACGCUCCGAUUUUUGUUUUGAAGACACGGACAGUAACCCGUUCGCUAGGGAGUACACCUAGGAACUGGAAUUACUCGGGGAAUUGGGAACUGGUCAGAGUAAUAAAGGGCUAACGGCAACACACUCAACACAGGGAACGACAGGGGUGCAGGUUAACAAAGGUUUUACAGGUACUGGAACGACGGUUAAGGGUACAAAUUAUAUAGGAAUAAAUCACAGGUAAAUAAGGCUGGUUAAUAGCAAAAGGCACUGGUAAAGGUAGAAGCAAAAGUUACUGGACUGGACGGACACAGGUAUAUAUAUAUAUUUGAGCUCUGGUGGGGAAGACGAUUAGGAGGGGCGAAAUUAAGUAGAAAUAUCUGGGGGAAAUCUCAUUUACUGGUUUUGGGCAGAUUAUUUCCUUACCCUUAAUUUCGUUUCCUCACAUCUCUCCCCCCCUUCGGGUAGAGGAUUUGCUGGGGGAUAAAACAUUAAAGAUAUGGUGAUGUUCCCCUUUUAGAAUUAACCCCAUCUCGACGGCCGCUUUUCGGGGAAGACGUAGGAAGCUUCCUGGACCACCUCCAAGACUGACCCCCACGAGUACUCGGCGCUGGUUAGCCUUUGUACGGUGGGCCUGGCUACGGGACCGUCUUUUCUUCUUCCGGAUGGACACCGCAGGCUGCUGGAGAAGAGGGCUGGGAGUUGGCACGGUAGACAUACCAGGCAGCGGAGUUAUUCCCAAGUCCAAACUGGCCAAACGGUUCGCCGCUGUCUCACAGUCCAAGGCCCGGUUGCAUACA